rnacentral:rRNA from 1 species
GGUUUAAUUCGAUGCAACGCGAAGAACCUUACCUGGUCUUGACAUCCACAGAACUUUCCAGAGAUGGAUUGGUGCCUUCGGGAACUGUGAGACAGGUGCUGCAUGGCUGUCGUCAGCUCGUGUUGUGAAAUGUUGGGUUAAGUCCCGCAACGAGCGCAACCCUUAUCCUUUGUUGCCAGCGGUUAGGUCGGGAACUCAAAGGAGACUGCCAGUGAUAAACUGGAGGAAGGUGGGGAUGACGUCAAGUCAUCAUGGCCCUUACGACCAGGGCUACACACGUGCUACAAUGGCGCAUACAAAGAGAAGCGACCUCGCGAGAGCAAGCGGACCUCAUAAAGUGCGUCGUAGUCCGGAUUGGAGUCUGCAACUCGACUCCAUGAAGUCGGAAUCGCUAGUAAUCGUGGAUCAGAAUGCCACGGUGAAUACGUUCCCGGGCCUUGUACACACCGCCCGUCACACCAUGGGAGUGGGUUGCAAAAGAAGUAGGUAGCUUAACCUUCGGGAGGGCGCUUACCACUUUGUGAUUCAUGACUGGGGUGAAGUCGUAACAAGGUAACCGUAGGGGAACCUGCGGUUGGAUCACCUCCUUA